CCCAUGUUAUUAUAAAAGAGAAUUAUUUUUGUUCGGCGCGAUGGUCUCGACUUCAUCAAGACCGCUUCAAGACUUGAGCAAGGAUAGUAACACAAUGUGUGCUAAGCACACGAGGAGGAAACAAACAUGGAACAAGGUAAAGUAAAAUGGUUUAACGCAGAAAAAGGUUUUGGAUUCAUCGAACGUGAAGACGGCGACGACGUAUUCGUACACUUCUCCGCUAUCCAAGGCGACGGCUUCAAAACUCUUGAAGAAGGUCAAGACGUAACGUUUGAAAUCGAGCAAGGCCAACGCGGUCUUCAAGCUACAAACGUAGUGAAAAACUAAUUUCACCCAUUCAAGAGCCAUUUCCUUUCGAGGAGAUGGCUUUUUU
rnacentral:other from 1 species